AUUGAACGCUGGCGGCAGGCCUAACACAUGCAAGUCGAGCGGGGGUAGCAAUACCCUAGCGGCGAACGGGUGAGGAAUGCUUGGGAAUCUGCCUGGUAGUGGGGGGAUAACGUUCCGAAAGGAACGCUAAUACCGCAUACGUCCUACGGGAGAAAGGGGGGGGAUCUUCGGACCUCUCGCUAUCAGAUGAGCCCAAGCCGGAUUAGCUAGUUGGUGGGGUAAAGGCCCACCAAGGCGACGAUCCGUAGCUGGUCUGAGAGGAUGAUCAGCCACACUGGAACUGAGACACGGUCCAGACUCCUACGGGAGGCAGCAGUGGGGAAUAUUGGACAAUGGGCGAAAGCCUGAUCCAGCCAUGCCGCGUGUGUGAAGAAGGCCUUCGGGUUGUAAAGCACUUUAAGCGGGGAAGAUAAUGACGGUACCCGGAGAAGAAGCCCCGGCUAACUCCGUGCCAGCAGCCGCGGUAA
rnacentral:rRNA from 1 species